rnacentral:rRNA from 1 species
GACGAACGCUGGCGGCGUGCUUAACACAUGCAAGUCGAACGGAAAGGCCCUGCUUUUGUGGGGUGCUCGAGUGGCGAACGGGUGAGUAACACGUGAGUAACCUGCCCUUGACUUUGGGAUAACUUCAGGAAACUGGGGCUAAUACCGGAUAGGAGCUCCUGCUGCAUGGUGGGGGUUGGAAAGUUUCGGCGGUUGGGGAUGGACUCGCGGCUUAUCAGCUUGUUGGUGGGGUAGUGGCUUACCAAGGCUUUGACGGGUAGCCGGCCUGAGAGGGUGACCGGCCACAUUGGGACUGAGAUACGGCCCAGACUCCUACGGGAGGCAGCAGUGGGGAAUAUUGCACAAUGGGCGGGAGCCUGAUGCAGCAACGCCGCGUGCGGGAUGACGGCCUUCGGGUUGUAAACCGCUUUCGCCUGUGACGAAGCGUGAGUGACGGUAAUGGGUAAAGAAGCACCGGCUAACUACGUGCCAGCAGCCGCGGUGAUACGUAGGGUGCGAGCGUUGUCCGGAUUUAUUGGGCGUAAGGGCUCGUAGGUGGUUGAUCGCGUCGGAAGUGUAAUCUUGGGGCUUAACCCUGAGCGUGCUUUCGAUACGGGUUGACUUGAGGAAGGUAGGGGAGAAUGGAAUUCCUGGUGGAGCGGUGGAAUGCGCAGAUAUCAGGAGGAACACCAGUGGCGAAGGCGGUUCUCUGGGCCUUUCCUGACGCUGAGGAGCGAAAGCGUGGGGAGCGAACAGGCUUAGAUACCCUGGUAGUCCACGCUGUAAACGGUGGGUACUAGGUGUGGGGUCCAUUCCACGGGUUCCGUGCCGUAGCUAACGCUUUAAGUACCCCGCCUGGGGAGUACGGCCGCAAGGCUAAAACUCAAAGGAAUUGACGGGGCCCCGCACAAGCGGCGGAGCAUGCGGAUUAAUUCGAUGCAACGCGUAGAACCUUACCUGGGUUUGACAUGGAUCGGGAGUGCUCAGAGAUGGGUGUGCCUCUUUUGGGGUCGGUUCACAGGUGGUGCAUGGCUGUCGUCAGCUCGUGUCGUGAGAUGUUGGGUUAAGUCCCGCAACGAGCGCAACCCUUGUUCACUGUUGCCAGCACGUUAUGGUGGGGACUCAGUGGAGACCGCCGGGGUCAACUCGGAGGAAGGUGGGGAUGACGUCAAGUCAUCAUGCCCCUUAUGUCCAGGGCUUCACGCAUGCUACAAUGGCUGGUACAGAGAGUGGCGAGCCUGUGAGGGUGAGCGAAUCUCGGAAAGCCGGUCUCAGUUCGGAUUGGGGUCUGCAACUCGACCUCAUGAAGUCGGAGUCGCUAGUAAUCGCAGAUCAGCAACGCUGCGGUGAAUACGUUCCCGGGGCU